rnacentral:rRNA from 1 species
GUCUACGGCCAUGCUACCCUGAACAAGCCCGAUCCUGUCUGAUCUCAGAAGCUAAGCAGGGCCGGGCCUGGUUAGUAUUUGGAUGGGAGACCACCUAGGAAGACCAGGUGCUGUAGGUG